CGCGUAGGCGGUUAUUUAAGUCAGGGGUGAAAACUCUGGGCUCAACUCAGAGCCUGCCUCUGAAACUGGAUGACUUGAGGGCAGGAGAGGGGAGUGGAAUUCCCAGUGUAGCGGUGAAAUGCGUAGAUAUUGGGAGGAACACCAGUGGCGAAGGCGACUCUCUGGCCUGUUACUGACGCUGAGGCGCGAAAGCGUGGGGAUCAAACA
rnacentral:rRNA from 1 species